GAUGAACGCUGGCGGCGUGCCUAAUACAUGCAAGUCGAGCGGACGGACGAUAAGCUUGCUCCUCUGAUGUUAGCGGCGGACGGGUGAGUAACACGUGGAUAACCUACCUAUAAGACUGGGAUAACUUCGGGAAACCGUAGCUAAUACCGGAUAAUAUUUUGAACCGCAUGGUUCAAAAGUGAAAGACGGUCUUGCUGUCACUUAUAGAUGGAGCCGCGCUGCAUUAGCUAGUUGGUAAGGUAACGGCUUACCAAGGCAACGAUGCAUAGCCGACCUGAUAGGGUGAUCAGCCACACUGGAACUGAGACACGGUCCAGACUCCUACGGGAGGCAGCAGUAGGGAAUCUUCGGCAAUGGGCGAAAGCCUGACGGAGCAACGCCGCGUGAGUGAUGAAGGUCUUCGGAUCGUAAAGCCCUGUUAUUAGGGAAGAACAUAUGUGUAAGUAACUGUGCACAUCUUGACGGUACCUAAUCAGAAAGCCACGGCUAACUACGUG
rnacentral:rRNA from 1 species